rfam:Rattus norvegicus chromosome 6, whole genome shotgun sequence.
AUAUAGGUUUUUCUCAAAGCCACAAAUCUCAACAAUGGGUCUGUUU